CGUUGUCCGGAAUUACUGGGCGUAAAGAGCUCGUAGGUGGUUUGUCGCGUUGUUCGUGAAAUCUCACGGCUUAACUGUGAGCGUGCGGGCGAUACGGGCAGACUUGAGUACUGCAGGGGAGACUGGAAUUCCUGGUGUAGCGGUGGAAUGCGCAGAUAUCAGGAGGAACACCGGUGGCGAAGGCGGGUCUCUGGGCAGUAACUGACGCUGAGGAGCGAAAGCGUGGGGAGCGAACAGGAUUAGAUACCCUGGUAGUCCACGCCGUAAACGGUGGGUACUAGGUGUGGGUUUCCUUCCUUGGGAUCCGUGCCGUAGCUAACGCAUUAAGUACCCCGCCUGGGGAGUACGGCCGCAAGGCUAAAACUCAAAGAAAUUGACGGGGGCCCGCACAAGCGGCGGAGCAUGUGGAUUAAUUCGAUGCAACGCGAAGAACCUUACCUGGGUUUGACAUGCACAGGACGCCGGCAGAGAUGUCGGUUCCCUUGUGGCCUGUGUGCAGGUGGUGCAUGGCUGUCGUCAGCUCGUGUCGUGAGAUGUUGGGUUAAGUCCCGCAACGAGCGCAACCCUUGUCUCAUGUUGCCAGCGGGUAAUGCCGGGGACUCGUGAGAGACUGCCGGGGUCAACUCGGAGGAAGGUGGGGAUGACGUCAAGUCAUCAUGCCCCUUAUGUCCAGGGCUUCACACAUGCUACAAUGGCCGGUACAAAGGGCUGCGAUGCCGCGAGGUUAAGCGAAUCCUUUUAAAGCCGGUCUCAGUUCGGAUCGGGGUCUGCAACUCGACCCCGUGAAGUCGGAGU
rnacentral:rRNA from 1 species